AUUGAACGCUGGCGGCAUGCUUUACACAUGCAAGUCGAACGGCAGCGCGGGCUUCGGCCUGGCGGCGAGUGGCGAACGGGUGAGUAAUGCAUCGGAACGUGCCCAGUAGUGGGGGAUAGCCCGGCGAAAGCCGGAUUAAUACCGCAUACGACCUGAGGGUGAAAGCGGGGGACCGAAAGGCCUCGCGCUAUUGGAGCGGCCGAUGUCGGAUUAGCUAGUUGGUGGGGUAAAGGCUUACCAAGGCGACGAUCCGUAGCUGGUCUGAGAGGACGACCAGCCACACUGGGACUGAGACACGGCCCAGACUCCUACGGGAGGCAGCAGUGGGGAAUUUUGGACAAUGGGGGCAACCAUGAUCCAGCCAUGCCGCGUGCGGGAAGAAGGCCUUCGGGUUGUAAACCGCUUUUGUUCGGGAAGAAAUCCUCUGGGCUAAUACCCCGGGGGGAUGACGGUACCGGAAGAAUAAGCACCGGCUAACUACGUG
rnacentral:rRNA from 1 species